UACGUAGGGUGCGAGCGUUGUCCGGAAUUAUUGGGCGUAAAGGGCUCGUAGGCGGUUUGUUGCGUCGGGAGUGAAAACUCAGGGCUUAACCCUGAGCCUGCUUCCGAUACGGGCAGACUAGAGGUAUGCAGGGGAGACUGGAAUUCCUGGUGUAGCGGUGGAAUGCGCAGAUAUCAGGAGGAACACCGGUGGCGAAGGCGGGUCUCUGGGCAGUAACUGACGCUGGAGGAGCGAAAGCCGUGGGGAGCGAACAGG
rnacentral:rRNA from 1 species